CGAAUGCUGACAUAAGUAACGAUAAAGCGGGUGAAAAGCCCGCUCGCCGGAAGACCAAGGGUUCCUGUCCAACGUUAAUCGGGGCAGGGUGAGUCGACCCCUAAGGCGAGGCCGAAAGGCGUAGUCGAUGGGAAACAGGUUAAUAUUCCUGUACUUGGUGUUACUGCGAAGGGGGGACGGAGAAGGCUAUGUUGGCCGGGCGACGGUUGUCCCGGUUUAAGCGUGUAGGCUGGUUUUCCAGGCAAAUCCGGAAAAUCAAGGCUGAGGCGUGAUGACGAGGCACUACGGUGCUGAAGCAACAAAUGCCCUGCUUCCAGGAAAAGCCUCUAAGCAUCAGGUAACAUCAAAUCGUACCCCAAACCGACACAGGUGGUCAGGUAGAGAAUACCAAGGCGCUUGAGAGAACUCGGGUGAAGGAACUAGGCAAAAUGGUGCCGUAACUUCGGGAGAAGGCACGCUGAUAUGUA
rnacentral:rRNA from 1 species